rnacentral:rRNA from 1 species
AACCCGAUACGCCGACGCUGCUUGGUGGAUAUCUUGGCUUGGAGGCCGAUGAAGGGCGUGGCAAGCUGCGAUAAGCCCGGGUUAGGCGCAUGCAGCCGUUGACCCCGGGAUCCCCGAAUGGGACCUCUCGUCCGGGCCUAAUACGUCCGGACGCUCCGUUAUGGAGCGGGAACCCCCCGAAUUAAAGCAUUUUAGUAGGGGGUGGAAAAGAAAACAAUUGUGAUUCCGUUAUUAACAGCGAGCGAACACGGAACAGGUCAAACCGAAUCCCCCGUGGAGAACGCUGGGGGAAAUGUGGUGUUAGGACACGGUCUGGCCAUAUCGCCAAAGCUGAAUUUUCUGGAAAGCUAAACCAUAGAGGGUGAAAGUCCCGUAAGCGCAAGGCGGGGGGCUAAUGCCGUGGAUCCAGAGUAGCGCGGGUCGGUAUUUCCCGCGUGAAGUCGGGGGACUGUAACCCCCAAAUCUAAAUACUGUCCAAGACCGAUAGCGCACUAGUACCGUGAGGGAAAGAUGAAAAGCACCCCGGAAGGGAAGUGAAAAGUGCUUGAAACCAAGCAGUUUUAGACGGGAGCGGCCUGCAAGGUUAGAUUCUUCUCGAAGCGAAACUCCGUGAGGGGUGGAACGAGAGAAGAGGACCAGGGUUGCUCCAUCCGUCUUGAAUCACGGGCCAGGGAGUUCUGGGCAGUGGCGANNNNNNNNNNNNNNNNNNNNNNNNNNNNNNNNNNNNNNNNNNNNNNGCAGGUGACGAGGCGGCUGGUCCCAACCGGCCUAUAGUCACUGUCCAAAUACCCGAAACCAGACGAUCUAUCCCUGGGCAGGCUGAAGCGUACCGAAAGGUGCGUGGAGGGCCGCAAAGGUGUUGACGUGCAAUUCACUCAGAUGACCUGGGGAUUGGGGCAAAAGACCAAUCUAGUCUGGAGAUUGCUGGUUCUUCCCGAAGUUACUCGCAGGUAAGCCGUGGACGAGGUCGAUCAUGGGGUAGAGCACUAGUUGUGGUAACCUUGGGGUAAUACCCAAGGNNNNNNNNNNNNNNNNNNNNNNNNNNNNNNNNNNNNCUCCACGAGAAGGGUUAUGGAGCAUAAGGUUCUAUGCCGAGAGGGGAACAACUCAGACCGCGAUUAAGGUCCUAAAGUGCGGACCCAGUGUUAAACGCAAAUGGCGUUCAUUUCCUAAGACAGCUAGGAUGUAAGCUCAGAAGCAGCUAUCAUUAAAAGAGUGCGUAACAGCUCACUUGCCGAGGAGAUGGGCCCAGAAAAUGGACGGGACUUAAGUCCGCCACCGAUAUCGCGGGGCGCCCCCUGUAGCGGGGGUGAUCCGGUAGGGAAGCGUGCCGCUUGGGUUGAAGCGGGGGGGUGACUCCCCGUGCACCGAGCGGUAGUGCAGAUCCUGGUGGUAGUAACAGCAAAGAUGGGUGAGAAUCCCAUCCGCCGAAGGGGCAAGGGUUCCUCAGCAAUGCGUCGUCAGCUGAGGGUCAGCCGAUCCUAAGCCGGGCGGUAGUGUAACCCGGACGAAAGGGAAACGGGUUUAGAUUCCCGUGCCACGGAGAUACAAUAGCGGUAACGCAAGGUACGGUAGGUAACGCGGGCGGGCAGGUGGAGCAGCGCUGUCGUCGCUGCUUAACUGUAUAAUCCCCGGGAGAGCCGUUAAGGCGUGAUCGGGGAAAAAGCAGGAAUAGCCACUCAAUUGUGAGCGGUUCCGCUGGACCCGUGCGCCCAUGAAAAGCCACCGUGCAAGGACUCUCCGUGUUCGUACCAAGAUCCGACACAGGUGUCCCUAGGUGAGUAGCCUCAGGCGUUUCGGGCUUAAAGGUAGGCUAGGGAAUUCGGCAAAUUGGAGCGGUAACUUCGGGAUAACGCUUGCUCAGGGACUUGCCCUCGCGAUGAGUGGGGGUGGGUUCCCGAGCCGCAGUGACUAGGGAGGGAUGACUGUUUAAUAAAAACAUAGCGAACUGCAAGCGUGCAAACGUGUGAACAGUUCGUGAAUCCUGGCCGGUGCAGGUUGGUGAAACCCGGGUUCAACCGGUCGAAGCCCCUGUAAACGCCGGGAGUAACUAUAACUCUCUUAAGGUAGCCAAAUGCCUUGCCGGACAAGUACCGGCGUGCAUGAAUGGAUCAACGAUCUCUCCACUGUCCCAGCCGCCUAACCGGUGAACCUACCUGCUGGAGAACGGUCCAGUGCGUCCCAUUGGGGAGAGAAGACCCCGUGGAGUUUUACUGCAGCCUGUAGCUGCCGUGCGGGUGCGCAUGCGUAGCGUAGUUGGGAGCAUAGAAGCGUGGUUUCGGCCGCGUGGAGCAAAAAUGAAACACCAACCUUGUGCGCUUGCACGGCUAACUCUUAGGAGGACACCCGCAGGUGGGCAGUUUGGCUGGGGCGGCACCCCGUCGAAAAGGUAUCGACGGGAGCCUAAGGUCAGCUCAGUCGGAACAGAACCCCGACGUAGAGUCUAACGGCACAAGCUGGCUUGAUUGUACGCUAAAAAGCAAGGCGUGCAAAGACGAAAGUCUGGCGUAGCGAUCUACCGCAUUCCUUUACAGGGAGGCGGUAGUGAUAGAAAAAUUACCCCGGGGGUAACAGAGUCGUCGCGGGCAAGAGUCCACAUCGACCCCGCGGCUUGCUUCCUCGAUGUCGGUUCUUCCUAUCCUGGUGAUGCAGCAGUCGCCAAGGGUGGGGCUGUACGCCCAUUAAAAGGGAACGUGAGCUGGGUUUAGACCGUCGUGAGACAGGUCGGAUUCUACCUAAUGGGACUGUGGGAAGGGUGAGAGCAAGGUUCGGUCAGUACGAGAGGAACACUGAGCCGCGGCCUCUAGUGUACCGGUUGUCCGACAGGGCACCGUGCCGGGNNNNNNNGCCGCAAGCGAUAAGACCUGAAAGCAUCUAAGGACGAAGCGCGCCUCGAAACGACCCUUCCAAUCCACGCGCAUCAGUAUCGCGGGUCACAUCUUCUU